AUGAAUAGUUCAAGGAAGGAUCUCAAAACAGGGGAGUUGAUAAAACAACAAUUUGUUUGCAACAAGUUUCGGAAGCCUGAUGUUGAUGACGGAGGGGCAGAAAAGAUUCCCGUGCUAGAUGACAUUGUUGAGCAAGAAAAAAAUGAUAAUGAAGAUGAGGCUAUUGUCUUUCUUGAUGAUGAUAGUAAAGGCAAAAAGAGGAGCAAGAAACGAAAAAGAGAUAAAAUUGUGCAAACUGGUUGCAAAGCUAAGAUGAUUGUGAAGGUAAUAGAUGGCAGAUGGGAAGUGAUCUACUUUGUUAGCGAGCACAACCACCCGUUGGUUGACAAGCCAUGUUUGACUAAAUAUUUGCGAUCACACCAAGGGAUCCCGCCGGGAGAAAGGGCCUUCCUUACUCAUCUUCAUAACUGCAAUUUAACUACAGGUCGUAUGAUGCACAUCAUGUCAGAUUUCUAUGGGACAGAACUCAUUGUACCUUAUGGCACUAAACACAUUACAAACCUCAAGACGCUCUUGAACAAGGAUGAUACAAAGAAGGGGAUAUGA
rnacentral:rRNA from 1 species